GCAGCUCAGUGGUAGAGCAUUUGCGUUGCAUGAGAAUGUCCCAGGUUCAAUCCCUGCAAACU
rnacentral:tRNA from 1 species